CAAGCCUCAAUAGGAGAGUUCCUACACUAGCCAUUAGAUAUGCUGAUAUCAGCCAAGGAUCUCCAGUAAGACAGGAUGGGGUAUUUUAUAAACCCUUUCACAUUUAACCCUUUAUAGGGCUUCUACACAUACAAUAAACUUUGUUGGUAUCAGACAAAGUGUAAACAUCCCUAAUGAGACAUGAAGGGGUGUUUUAUAAACCCCUACAUACUUAACCCUGAAUAGGGCUAUAACACAUACAAAUCACCUCCAUUUUGUUUAAAU